rnacentral:rRNA from 1 species
GUAGGUGGCAAGCGUUGUCCGGAAUUAUUGGGCGUAAAGCGCGCGCAGGCGGUUCUUUAAGUCUGAUGUGAAAGCCCACGGCUCAGCCGUGGAGGGUCAUUGGAAACUGGAGAACUUGAGUACAGAAGAGGAAAGCGGAAUUCCACGUGUAGCGGUGAAAUGCGUAGAGAUGUGGAGGAACACCAGUGGCGAAGGCGGCUUUCUGGUCUGUAACUGACGCUGAGGCGCGAAAGCGUGGGGGGAGCAAACAGGAUUAGAUACCCUGGUAGUCCACGCCGUAAACGAUGAGUGCUAAGUGUUAGGGGGUUUCCGCCCCUUAGUGCUGCAGCUAACGCAUUAAGCACUCCGCCUGGGAGUACGGCCGCAAGGCUG